AAAUAUACACCUUGGUGUGUGAAUAGUUGAAUACGAUGAUUUCGUGUGUCAGAGACAACUAUUUGGCCUUCAGAAUUAACAGCCACAUCCCAAGGGUAAUUGAAUUGGCCUGGCCUAGAGCCCUUUUCACCAAAGGUCUACCACGAGGUAUGACAUGCCGUGGGAAGUUGGAUACUAUCCUAUUACUGCCCAUGGGAGUUUCUAUUGCCGCUGUCCGACCUCUUACAGAUCGAUGAUCUCCUAUGGGGCCUGGAUUUCCAAAAGUGACUGGUCCCACGGAGGCGAAUGAAUUUACCAAAUUGAUAUUUGAAUCUAGGAAUGACAUCCAGUCGUCGUCCCUGGGUACUACAGAAUUCUGAUAUUGACGAAUCUGAAGCACCUGAGCACAAAUAUAAGUAGAUUUUAGUCAUUUAUUAUCUGACCUAAUGGUCGAAGAUAUUGGAAAGAGCAAUAUACACCUUUUAUAUAUACAAAUUUUCACUGCCUUUAAUUGAUCGCCUGUGAUUGGCAAGUGGUUAAAAUAUUACAUUUUCUCAUAAUCACGAUGUACAUAUUGCUAAAUAAAAAGAAAAAAGAACUAA